rnacentral:ncRNA from 3 species
UUUCUUUUCUGGCAAACCUGUCGAAAGGCAGGGACGCAAAGCUUAGGGUCUAAGGCUCUCCUUCAAGGACGGCUAUGGCAGCCUGGCCGCCGAA